rnacentral:rRNA from 1 species
AUUGAACGCUGGCGGCAUGCCUUACACAUGCAAGUCGAACGGCAGCACGGGGCAACCUGGUGGCGAGUGGCGAACGGGUGAGUAAUGCAUCGGAACGUACCUUUCAGUGGGGGAUAACGUAGCGAAAGUUACGCUAAUACCGCAUAUUCUGUGAGCAGGAAAGCAGGGGAUCGCAAGACCUUGCGCUGAUUGAGCGGCCGAUGUCAGAUUAGCUAGUUGGUGAGGUAAAGGCUCACCAAGGCGACGAUCUGUAGCGGGUCUGAGAGGAUGAUCGGCCACACUGGAACUGAGAAACGGUCCAGACUCCUACGGGAGUCAGCAGGGGGGAAUUUUGGACAAUGGGGGCAACCCUGAUCCAGCCAUGCCGCGUGAGUGAAGAAGGCCUUCGGGUUGUAAAGCUCUUUCGGCCGGGAAGAAAUCGCACGGGCUAAUACCCUGUGUGGAUGACGGUACCGGAAUAAGAAGCACCGGCUAACUACGUGCCAGCAGCCGCAGUAAGAC